ACAAAUGCUGGCAUCUCAGGCAGCUCAAGGAAGAGCAGUCCCACAGAGCCUGAUCAGAAUGCCACACCUGGAAGGGAGGCCCGAUGUCCCUUCCUGCCUCGUCUUCUGAAGAGGCCCUGAGAGGGUUGGACUGCAAUGGCGUGAUCUCGGCUCCCUGCAACCUCCGCCUCCCAGGAUCAAGCGAUUCUCCUGCCUCAGCCUCCCGAGUAGCUGGGAUUACAGGCAUGUACCACCACGCCAGGCUAAUUUUUUGUAUUUUUAGUAGAGACGGGGUUUCUCCAUGUUGGUCAGGCUGGUCUCAAACUCCCGGCCUCAGGUGAUCCGCCCACCUCGGCCUCCCAAAGUAUUGGGAUUACAGGCGUGAGUCACCGUGCCCAGCCCAAAUGUUUUAUAUGUCAACUUUUUACACACUGGAGACCAUCAACCCAAUAAUUUGUGCUGCCAGGUGAGCUUGAUUUUGUGGGGCCCUCAGGAUCAAGUUUCCGCCUCUCUCUGUGUGUAAGUGGCUGAAAUCCCUGAAAUGUGUUAGUGAAGAGGACAUUUUAUUCAUUUAUUUAUUUAAAUUCUGGCCUGAGGCAUAGUGCUCACCUGCCACCGUUCAGGGUCUGUCCAGGAGAGCUACAGCUCAGUGACAGCAUGCACGCCUGUCGGCGAGUCCCUUUACGUAGGUGGGUAACACAUUUUGCUGCGGUAUUACAGCAUAGCUGGGUUUUUGUUUACUUUGUUUGGGAGCCUCUUAUUUGAGACUUGUUUGUCAUGAGGAACAGGAACUGCUGUUAGAUUUGCUAUGAUCCAACCGUGAAAAAAAAAAAAAAAGCUCUUGCCUCAUUUUAAACUUCUAGUGUCUACAUCAUUUAAACUGCAGAUAUCCUGAGAUUUCCAAGUAAGCUGUUAAAAAAACCAAAAACCAACCAAACAAAAAAACCCUGUUGUCACUUAUAGCAACUACAGUUCUUGUGUGUACUGGCUGGAUACUGGGGCUCGGUCAUGUCCACGACUCUCUGCUAUAACCUGUAUUUUCAAAUCUGUGUUAAUUAUUAACAUUUUAGAGUAAUUCUUUUUGAUUUUAAACUUGAACUUAUAAUCUUGUAAAAAGGGUUCUGCUGCUAAAAAAACAAGUUUGAAAACCACUGACUUAGAUGGCAUUCGGGUUGUAUAUGUUUGAGGAAAUGUGAUUAUCUAACGACUGGAAGAAAUAAUUCUGGCAAAAUCCUACGCCAAUCUUCUAUGGUAUAUUAUUUUCCGGCCCUUUGGCAGAAGCUUGAAUAACAGGGCCUGUGACAGGGGCAUCGAAGCAUUGUUUUACACUCAGACUUCACGGAGGCCACGGGCGCUCAAGUGCUUUACGGAAAUCACCAACCUUGAUGGCACCACCACCUCAACCUCGUGAGUAAGGAGGGCAGGGCGCUGUCUUCUUCCUGAAGGGCUUAAACCACGAAAUGUGGUUAUUGUGUCUGUGUGUUGAGAUCUAUCCACUGCUUUCCAUCUUGGCGGAAGUGAUUUGUGGAGAAGGGCAAGAAGGAAUGAAGAUGAGCCUAGGCUCUCUCCUGGUAUCUUCUGCAAGAAGAGAAACGGCACAAGGGCAGGGCCCCAUAUGCCCGGACGCAGUCGGGCACAGGUGGGCUGGGGCCAACUCCAUCUGGGCUCAGGCUUAACUGAGGAGGCCAAAUCAGAGCGCGCAGAGCAGGGCAGGGGGGCAGGGGCACCGCAGGUUCGCUGGGAAACCUUGGACCUUCUUAGGUGAACCCACAUCUCCUUGCUGUGCUUGUCUCACAGUAACACAUCCCAGUCGUCUCAGCCUAUUGGAUGCUAAGUGCUUCAAGUUUUUGCAUGUCCUUUGGUAGCCUGGACUUCAUGCAUUAACAGCAUCAGGUGAGCCCAAACCAAGAACAUCCACAUCCUCACCUUUCUCCCCAUCCCAUCUCUUUGCCUGAAGGUCAUCACUGAGUAGACUGAUAAGCUGCAAUUUCCAGGCCUUAAAGGGCCUGGGAAAGGAGACCUACUUCCAUUCUGGACUCCCUCACUCCCCACCACACAAACUUCAGUCCUACAGGCCAUAGGAAUUCAUCUUGACACCAGGCACUUCCCAUGAGCCCAUGGGUCAGUCUUUGAGCAAGAUCAGAUGGCAGCAGCUGGCCCUGCUCCUGGCCGCCUCCUCCCAGUUCUUCCAUUUCACAGACAGCCUGCCUGUCGGCAGAGGCACCCUGCUCCCCUCUGCCACACUAGAGUGAGGAAGUAAGAGGACACUCCUUUUCUUCAUCCCCAGCUCACAAUUUGAACGCUGAACCUGCAGGCUAUAAAGAGAUGGAAGUUUCCCCAUCCAGAGACUAGACGAAGAUUUGUGGAUGUUUGAGAAGGCAGAGUGGCCACUGCACCCCCGGGGCUGGUCCUGCAGCUUCAAGGUCCUGAACCAACAGGACUUCCUGGGCCGUGGGGCCAGAGACGCCUCAGGCACUCCCUUGCAUUCUCUGUGCCCAACUAUGCUGAGCGCGGCCGCUCAGCUUCCCUGGGUGGAAUGGCAGGAAUGAGCGCACCACACUCUCCAGGGCUUCCUUGCCAGGAGCAGCAGUCACGAGCACAGGGCCCUGCCAGCCACUCCCCGGUGUCUGCUCCACGUCGGCUAGUCACAUGCCCCGAGCCUCUCCAGCCCUGCCCUAAGUGACCAGCGUUCAGCGGACACAGGGCCUGGGUGCCCUCUGGAAAUCUGUGUGUGCUAAGGGUGGCCACAUACUCCCCUGCCAGUGGUGUUGAGGGCUCUGUGGGCAGGAGGGUCCCAGGGAACUAACAACAGGAGGGGGUCUGUGGGAUGCAGGCUGGGGACCUGCUCAGUGCAGUUCUGUGAUGGUUCCUUGCGGUUCAAUCUCCCUCACUCCCAGUUAUUCCCUCCUAGAGUAAAUGGCGGGGUGGGAAGGAGGGGAAGAGCCAGCGCUCGCCAUCAGCAUGCCGGGGACGGAGUUUUGCUCUAUGGGAAACGGCAGCCCAGAGGGGCUGCGGAGCAGGAUGGGCCUGGGGCUGUCUCAGACGGGUAUUUUCUUUUGCUUAACAGGAAGCCCCAAAUCUCAGGGAUGAAGGGCCCCAGAAAAUCCUGCUGGAAAAUGAGCUGAAUUCCAGAUGCUGUGAGGCGGGAAGAGGCGUCUGUGCUGCUGGAGUGGCUCCGGGAUCCUGGUCUGGCAGAAGUGGCUUCCUCCUUCCGAGGCAGGUCAAACCCCAUCCUCACUUCAGAGCCCCUGUUCCCCACACUUAUUUUGAAAGACUUAAGCCCACAGGAAAGUUGAAAGAGGAAGACAAUGAACAUCCAGAUGCCUCUCACCCGUGUCUGCCAAAAGUUACCAUUUUGCCACAUGCUUCAUCUAUAUGUCAUCUUUUAUAUGACCUUUUGUAAUGAAUCAUUGGUAGACACCACGAUGCUCCGUCCCUAAACAUUUUAGGAUGGACUUCCUAAGAACUCAGACGUUUUCCUAUAUAACUUUCCUACAUAAAAGUACAUCAACAGUGCCUUUAUCACUUGCAAGGAACUUAACAAUUUGAUAAUAUUACACAUUUAUACUAUCAUCCAGUCCUCAGCUGAAUUUCUUUAAUUGUUCCCAAAAUGUCCUUUAUGGCUGUUUUUGUUUGGUUUGUUUUCCUCUUUAGCAUCCGUGUCUUGAAAAGGCACAGCACCCAGCUCUCGCUCAAGCUGACUCCACACCAUGCGGAAGUCAGGUCGGCUGCCUGUGGCUCGGCUGUCUCCCAUGUCAUCUGUCUCCUAGGUUGGCCGUCCCCUAGGUCAUCCAUCCCCUAGCUCGACCGUCUCCUCGGUCCUCAGCUGUCCUCUAGGUCGGCUAUCCGCUAGCCUGUCUGUCCCCCAGGCUUGGCUUUGGCUUUAGUAUUCCGUAUGUGACCUCUAGCAAAUGGCUUUGCCUCUGUGGGUGCCCCUGGAGCGUGAGGCCUUAGAGGCCACCCUCUGGCUCUAGGGUUCUAUGGUGUCCAUGGCUUGUUCCUGGGGUCCUGUUCCUGUUCCUCCCUUGCUCCUCGUAUCUGCUGGGCCCUGGGGAGGCUCACCAAGUACCAGCCUUGGCACAGCCAACCCAGGCAGUAGGUGCUUCACAGAUGGAGAAGCAGUGGGCACACUGCCCCCCACAGCAACGUGAGGGAGGUGGGUGGCCAAGCUGACACAAUAGGUUGAAUGUCCACACUGUCACCACUGAGGCAGUGACCUUGGGACCACAUUCUCCAUUCUUUGCUGAUCCCCUAAAGCAGCACCCGUCACCAGUAUUGGGAUGUGUUUAGGGACCCACAUAGAAACCCAGGGGAAUUCUCAGCUCAGCCCCAGUGCAACUGGGAAAGCUUGACAGGGAGCCUUGACGAAGGCACACUCUCCUGGUCCCUGAGAAGGUGCAGAUCCCAACCCUAACUCAGUUGCUGGCCUGGUUGGGGCACAAGGAAGCCUGGCUCUGUAGAGGGUGGAGCAGGAGGAGAGGCCUGGCUCUCUAGAGUCUUCUAGGAGAGGGGCCAAAGAGCUGGAAAGGCCAAGGGAAACGAAUGCACCACGGAGGGGAUGAGAAAUAAAGCAUCCGGUUUGCUGAGUUAUUUAAAGAGGAACUGGGUCAGGCUGCAGGAGCCAUCUUCACCGAAUGGGCACAUGACGGGCUCAGGCGCACCGUGGCCCACCCUGACUGGGCUAUUGGAUGGCAGGAGAGGGCAGACUCAAGUCCAAGCCCCAGAAGCCUUGCAAUGAAGGCAUGCUACAUUCUGGAGAAGCUUUUCACGCAAAAGGGAGGCAGGAAGCAGGAGACAGCCGGGCUGCCCCCAGCCAGGAGGAGGAGCACAAGCCCCAGGGCUGGACAGUGGAGGUGGGGUGACGUGAUGCUCCGCAGAGCUCCGCCCACCCUGUAUGCUGACAGGUGCCUGUUAGAGUGUGCUGAUUCCUCUCCCUCCCCCUUCACUGGAUCCACCCAAAGUCGUGGGCUCUGGAAAGUGAGGGGCUGAGUCAGACCUAGCAGCCCUGCAGGUCAGUUCCUGGACCAGUCCUUUAAGAUGACAAACCCUCCCUAACUAUCAAACCCACCAAACGGGCAGGACCAGGCACAAUGCUCAGUGUCUGAGGUCCCAGCUCCUGCCAGCAGCCCUGGACUGUGCAGUGUUCUCCAGGCCCUGGGGCUGGCAGGCUGCUCCCUGCGGGAUCACCUAUGAAGAAGCAGACAAUGCCAGGCUGCCUCCUCCAGGGAAGGGGAGCGUGACGCAGCAAUGGCUCCAGUCUUCUCUUCUUGACAAGAAAUCAGAGCCCUUGCUGUGGAUGCCAAUGGCCCCAGCUCCCAUGUAGAAAGCCCAGCAUGACCGCCUCAGUGCAUAGGGCUGGGUCAGCAGUCAGCUGGCUAUGCGCCACUAGCUGUCCAUCCCUGGCUUCAGGUUUGCUUUCCCUCUCCUCUACCCUACCAAAGCCCAAUAGUAAACAGACAGGGCCCCAGGCCCUGUGAAGCCCCCCUGCCUGACUACCCACCUCUCGC